UGUAAGCGUAUACCAAAGUUGUUGCAGUUAAAACGCUCGUAGUCGGAAUUUGGCAGUUCCGGAUGUGUGCACGUCGUGUGCGCACUUCGCGGGGAUUGCUUUUGUGGUCUUGCGUAGGAUGAGGCACUUUUAUUAGUGAACGUCCUCACGCAACCACUUUUUACUGUGAGAAAAUCAGAGUGCUCAAAGCAGGCAUUUGCCGUGAAUGUAUUAGCAUGGAAUACUAGAAUAGGACUUGGUUCUAUUUUGUUGGUUUGUUGGGACUGAGUAAUGAUUAAGAGGGACAGUUGGGGGCAUUUGUAUUUCGGUGCUAGAGGUGAAAUUCUUAGAUUACCGAAAGACAAACUGCUGCGAAAGCGUCUGCCAAGGAUGUUUUCAUUGA
rnacentral:rRNA from 1 species